GACGAACGCUGGCGGCGUGCUUAACACAUGCAAGUCGAGCGAUGAAGUUUCUUCGGAAAUGGAUUAGCGGCGAACGGGUGAGGAACACGUGAAGAAUCUGCCCUCCACUUUGGGAUAACACCGGGAAACCGGUGCUAAUACCGAAUAUUGAAACAUAAGUGGCGUCACUGAGUUUUGAAAGAAUUUCGGUGGAGGAUGACUUCGCGGCCUAGCAGCUAGUUGGUGAGGUAAUGGCUCACCAAGGCAACGACGGGUAGCCGGCCUGAGAGGGCGACCGGCCACACUGGGACUGAGACACGGCCCAGACUCCUACGGGAGGCAGCAGUGGGGAAUAUUGGGCAAUGGAGGAAACUCUGACCCAGCGACGCCGCGUGCGGGAUGAAGGCCUUCGGGUUGUAAACCGCUUUCAGUAGGGAAGAAGCGAAAGUGACGGUACCUACAAAAGAAGCACCGGCUAACUAUGUGCCAGCCGCCGCGGUAA
rnacentral:rRNA from 1 species